rnacentral:rRNA from 1 species
GACGAACGCUGGCGGCGUGCUUAACACAUGCAAGUCGAACGGAAAGGCCCCUUUGGGGGUACUCGAGUGGCGAACGGGUGAGUAACACGUGAGUAACCUGCCCUUGUCUUCGGGAUAACUUCAGGAAACUGGGGCUAAUACCGGAUAGGAAUCCUUGCUGCAUGGUGGGGGUUGGAAAGCUUCGGCGGUUUUGGAUGGACUCGCGGCUUAUCAGCUUGUUGGUGGGGUAGUGGCUUACCAAGGCUUUGACGGGUAGCCGGCCUGAGAGGGCGACCGGCCACAUUGGGACUGAGAUACGGCCCAGACUCCUACGGGAGGCAGCAGUGGGGAAUAUUGCACAAUGGGCGGAAGCCUGAUGCAGCAACGCCGCGGGCGGGAUGACGGCCUUCGGGUUGUAAACCGCUUUCAGCAGGGGCGAAGCUUGUGGUGACGGUACCUGCAGAAGAAGCACCGGCUAACUACGUG